rnacentral:rRNA from 1 species
GGACCCGCACAAGCAGCGGAGCAUGUGGUUUAAUUCGAAGCAACGCGAAGAACCUUACCAAGUCUUGACAUAUUAUUGACCGGUAUAGAGAUAUGCCUUUACCUUCGGGUACAGUAAUACAGGUGGUGCAUGGUUGUCGUCAGCUCGUGUCGUGAGAUGUUGGGUUAAGUCCCGCAACGAGCGCAACCCUUACCUUUAGUUGCCAGCGCGUAAAGGCGGGAACUCUAGAGGGACUGCCGAUGAUAAAUCGGAGGAAGGUGGGG